UUCAACCAAUCACGUGCAAGGUCAAUCUGGUGACAAAUUUAAAAUACUCCUCCUGGUUUAAAAACAGAGUAUAGCAAAAUAUAUUUAGUAUACCUAUUAAACACACGACCUGGCGUAGUUACGAGCUACAAGUCCAUUCUUUUGUAUCGUAAAUGAAAGAUAUCAUCGUCAAAUAGGCACCGCUAUAAAAUUUGCUGCUGACUAUAUUUAGUUCCAACAUUACGAUUAUUACUGAUAGUACUAUAUCUGUUUUAGCUCUAAUUAUAAGUAGAGAAAAGAUCACCUCCGUAAUAGUAAUGGAUCGCCAUCUAACGCUUGAGGACGCGGCAACACUCAACUGUGAUACAUUCCAGUGAUUAUAGGAAAUUUUGACAUACCUAUGAAAUAAGCACUUCUAUUCAUUUGAUUCUCUAGUGUCUUAUAUUGAUAUAAUCAAAAAUCUAUUAUGCAUGAAAUAUUUAGAUUGGUGGGAGAGAAUUACAAAUUACCAACCAGUUAUGAAGUUAUUCAACAGAGGAGGCAGCUCAGUAAAUUAGGCUAAGAUCAUAAAAAUUAUUUCCCAUAACACCAUGUUCUUCAGCAUACAUACCAGUAGAUAUUGUAAAAUGAUUUGGAAACGUUUUCGUUGGAAAAACAUUAUACAUAUAGUCAGCAUAUGUUCCCUCUCGUUGCAACUUUACCAAUGUUGGUGUAGAAGCUUUAUUUAUGUAAUCAUAUCGAAAUCCAUCGUAUGAAACUAUUAAUAAUAUUGGCUUAUUAGAAUAUGUAUAGGCGAAUUGUAUAAAAACGCAUUGUAGAAAUAUAUUAAGUAACAUUAC